GUAAGAAGUGGCUGUUCACAGAUCUUGGUAAGAGUCUGGGAACCAUUAUGUCAUGGCCUGAAGCACUGAUUGAGCACCUGGUGAAGGGGGGUAGCCAGCCCUGGGAGCACAGGUGGAAGCAAUUCAUGUGUGGCCAGAAGGGGUGAACUCUGGGUCUGCCCCUCUCUGACCUUAUUUAAGGUCUGGCAGCCAUAAGGGAAGCAUCUAUCUGGAGACUGUCUUCUCUGGAGUGUUUGGUGAGCCCUGAUGCUUGGAAAGAGUCUCUCAGCACAGGAUGGAAAUACUUCUUCAUGAAGACUCCCAUCUUUUUCUUCUCCAUCCUGUAUAUUCUGCUUUCUGUGAGAAAGAAUUACGCAGACUGGAAGGAAGUCACAGUGCAAGUCAUCCUGCUGCCCAGGUAGACAAAUAAUGAUUCUAUCCCAGCACACAGAUGAGGAACGGGGACAUAAAGAAAAGGGGAUUUUCUCAAGAUCAGAAUUAGUGUACAUCAUUCAGGCCAUGUGAAAUCAUUGCCUGUGAUUUGAUUCAGUACUGAAGUAAGAAGACAACUUUACUAAUAUUACUGCUUAAUAUUUUCUGUUGUUUUAAAAUUAAAUUUGUUGGUUUCUAGAUUUUUUUUUUUUCCUGUGAGGUCACAUGCACUUGGAAACUUCAUAGAUUUGCAUUUUUCUGGCUGAAAGUAUGCAACCAAAUAAUAAAUUACUUGUUAUAACUGACUAUUCUAUUUACUAUUAAAUGCUUAACUAAUAUAAAACUGUUAUAUCAGCCAUUAAAUAUAAUCAUUUAAUUAUCUAUAAUUAAAUAUAUGCUAUGCUCCUUUGCCAGUAAUGACCAAAGGGAACUUUUUUUCUUUGUUUAUCUCAAGAUAACACAGAUAGAUGCAAAUAAAGAGAACGAAACAAAUUCUGCUUGAGGUCUACACUGUAAAAAUAAAUAAAUUUAAAAAAAUGUAGGAAAGCAAAGCAGCAGUAGACUGUUUUCAGGAUUUCUUUAAAACAAUAGCAGUGUAUAUUCACAAAACUCAGCUCUGAAUGUGAUAUGACAUAUUUAUUACUGUAUGAUUUGUUCCUUUACAAUGCUUUGGAACAUUUAUAAGUUUGUAAGACACAUUGAUGGAUGUGUUACUCUGAAAUGCUGUCUUGAAAAGUAGCAGCUGCAAAGAUUGCUCUGGCUUUUUUCACUAAAUGGAAGUGAAGGGACUGAUGAACUAUGUUGGUUAAACAGGAUUUAUUAAUGUGCCAAGAGACACUUCAAAUUCUGCACUCAUUUUUUUUCAUGCUUUAAAAUAGAAAUAUAUCUUCUCUGUAUUUCUAGAACAAUUAAGAGAAGUUGGAAAGGCAAACCAGUUUUUGCCUUCUCUGGGUUUGGAAACCCAGAAAAAUCUCAGUGUUGUCAAAACUCUAUGAAAAGUAGAAGACAAAUUCAGCCUCUGGCUGGAGCAAAGAAGUUCUGCUCCCAUGUGCUCACUGAAAUGGAAAGCACCAAACACAUGGGUUUACUGGGCUCUUGAUGGAACUAGCAGCAAAAUCUACUCCUAUAUAUGAGCCUUUCUCAUGCAGAUGAGUGCUUUCAGCUUUAAAGGACUAGUAUAAAGUGGAAAAAUGUUCCAGAUGCUGCUUGUGCUCUUUGAAUUUUGUCUCUUUUUCAUUUUAUUUUUUCCAUCUUUUUGUUAUUGUUCUAAGAAUAGAGUCCUAUUUUUUUAUGUGCUGCUCUUUGUGAUAUACACAAGCAAAUAAAUAAAACCAUGGUUUGAUUUAACUUCCCUACUGUAGUGGCAAACGGGCUUUGUUGGAAGCACGCACAUUAGUUUAUAUUAAAUUUAAGCAGGUUUUAGAGCUAAAAAUGUGGGUCAUUUUUAUGCACGUGAAAGAGCCAAGAUCUGCAAAUUAUCUCUUGUGAGACUCCUACUUCAGUCAAACUCUGAAGGAUAAUCCAUUCUGAAACUUUUUUCCUUAACUUUUCCAAACAUUAUGUAAAGACCAAAAUGAUCAUCAGCAACUUCAUUUUUGUGUGGGUAGUACAGAAGGAAAAGUUAACUAUAAACCCCUUUGUAGGGUGUUAUUAAGAAGGUUAAUUACAUACUGAUUUUCUAGACACAAGCAAGCUUGAGAUGGAGAUUGUAAUAUCAUUUUAGAAUAUGCAUUUUGCUUUCAUUUAAGGCAAUGAGUCUUUUCAAAGUCAUAAAACCAAAAGUAACCUGCUUUGCAGCUUCUCCAAAAAGAUUGUUUGCUCUCAAUACGAGCCCAGCACUGUAUUUUGACAUUUGCCAUAUUUAAGGAGAACAAUUUCUUCACACUUGUCUUGCUCAUUAGUUUGUCUUGAGGCACCCUAGUGAUUGCACAACAGCUUGAAUUUCAAGUGAGGGCUGCUGCUCGUUUCCCUGAAGUGCUGCUGACAAUUAUAUCUGAUCCCAUGGCAUAUAUGAGUUGCCACGAUACUCUAAUUCUCCUCAGUUGCUCUUUGGUUCCCUUAUGGGACAGUCACCCCAGUGUAUCAUCUGUUUGAGAGAAAAAAAUAAGUAGUGAGAUGUAAAGUUGCUUUCUUUUCCUCAAAGAGAAAGGAAGCUUGGUAUUUUCUCACUGUUUUCCAUGGACAGGAUUCUUUUGGUAUGUAUGCAGAAGUGACUGUGGCUUGCAGAUGAUAGAUGGUUUCAUUAUGCACCUGGCAAAAAUAAUACCAUCACAGCUGAUAAAUAUUUGAAUACAUACAGGCAUCCAAAGUGAUACAAGCCGCUUGAUAACUAAGAUAAAAAUAAGUAUUUUUGUUGUUGUUGUUGUUAAAUUUAUGAUAGUCCUUCAGAGGAUUAAUUUCAGAUAAGAAUUUGUUGGUAGGAUAUAUCUGCAUGCUUUCUGAGCACGUAAGGAAAACCAUUAAGUGGAUGUAUUAAAAGACACUGCUUCACAAAUUUCUGCAGUAGGUAGGGAAGGUUAAGUUCUGUUUUAAAUUUAACUGUCUUGAUUAUCUCCUGAGAUAAUUAUGUAAUAUUACAUGUUUUGACUCCUAUAAAGACAUUGUUCUGUCUGAUUAUUUAAUAGAAAAUAGUAUCUUUUUACUGACAGCAGUCAUUGUUAUAGUCAAAUUAGAUACCUUAAGUUCUGUUAAUAUUAGAGCUGUAAUCUCGAGAACCUAAAUAAUCUUACUUCAUAUCUAGCCAAAGUUACAAGGGAAAGGCAUUUGCAUAGAACAGUACAAAAUAUAGUGUAAUUAUAUUAUCACAUAGUUUACAUUUAUGUAAAUUUUGCAUGUUCUAGGGGAACUGUUGCUUAUUUUCCCAAAGCACGAUCUUGCUCAGCUUCACUACAAGCGUAAAUAAUGAUCCACGGUUUCACUUUGUGGAAUUUCGAUACAAAAGAAUUUAAAAAUGCAAAAUACGUUACUUUUUGUUGUUUUGCUCUUGAUUAAUUUCUGUGUUUGGGAUUAAAUAAUCUGCAACUAUUUCAUGACUUCAAAGGAAAGCUUUUUUUUUUUUCUCUCUUUUUUCUCUCUUUUUUUUCUUUUUUUCCCACCAACUGCAUGUUUCAACCUUUUGGACUGAAUAUCCUCGGUUCUGCUCUUAGUUACUGUUGUUUGCAACCUACCCGAGCACAGUUACCAUCUCAUAUCAAACUGAUGGGGUUCGAGUAGGUUUGCAAAGAAUCAAAGCAAAUCACCUGUGUCUACUUUCUUAACUUACUGGCUGAGUAUUUGUGUUUCAGGUAGAAGCCAGUUAUUUUUGUUAGUUGCAUUCCAAGAACUGAAGGAAAAUCUGUAGUAUCACUGAGAUUUUUGUUAGGUGGAUGGUUUGAGAACCUGUUAUUAUUUGUUAUUAUUUUUGCUGGAACCUGGUUGGUGCAUUCCUUUCAAAUGCUGCAUAAUUCUAAAUAUUUUAUCUACUCCUUGUCAGGAUGUACCUCUUAAUUAUGAACUUGUAAUGUGAUUAUUUCCAAUAUUCUAUACUUUUUCAUGUUUUCUGUUGCCUAUUAACCUACGUUAAUAAUUGUGCUAUUUUACUGCUAUUCUCUGUGUCAUGUUGGAGUGGAAAACCUCGAGGAGAGUGGAAGAACAAGCUCAACUACAGUAGAAUAAUAAAGUGGUUCAGAGCAGCCUGCCAAAAUCUCUCUAAACAUCUCGUUUUAUGUCUGCUGGGUCUGUUCUGGCAGUAAAUUUCAAAGACACAAACAACUUUCCCCCUUUCUCUCUGCAAUGAUGUCCAGCCAACUGGAGACUCGUGCCCUCUGAGCUGCUCUCAAUUGGUCUUAAAUGGUUUCUGUUAAGAUUGUCUUGAUAUAUUUAUAGUUUUGGGAUACAAGAGUUUAA